GAUGAACGCUGGCGGCGUGCUUAACACAUGCAAGUCGAACGGACCUUGAGGAGCUUGCUCCUCUUGGUUAGUGGCGGACGGGUGAGUAACGCGUGGGUAACCUGCCCUAUGCAGGGGGAUAACGUUUGGAAACGAACGCUAAUACCGCAUAACAUAAGAAGUUUGCAUGAACUUCUUAUCAAAGAUUUAUCGGCAUAGGAUGGACCCGCGUUGGAUUAGCUAGUUGGUGAGAUAACAGCCCACCAAGGCAACGAUCCAUAGCCGGCCUGAGAGGGUGAACGGCCAGGCUGGGACUGAGACACGGCCCAGAGUCCUACGGGAGGCAGCAGUGGGGAAUAUUGCACAAUGGGCGCAAGCCUGAUGCAGCGACGCCGCGUGAAGGAUGAAGGUUUUCGGAUCGUAAACUUCUAUCAGCAGGGAAGAACCAAAUGACGGUACCUGACUAAGAAGCCCCGGCUAACUACGUGCCAGCCGCCGCGGUAAGAC
rnacentral:rRNA from 1 species